AUUGAACGCUGGCGGCAGGCUUAACACAUGCAAGUCGAGCGGGGAAAGGUAGCUUGCUACCUGACCUAGCGGCGGACGGGUGAGUAAUGCUUAGGAAUCUGCCUAUUAGUGGGGGACAACAUCUCGAAAGGGAUGCUAAUACCGCAUACGUCCUACGGGAGAAAGCAGGGGACCUUCGGGCCUUGCGCUAAUAGAUGAGCCUAAGUCGGAUUAGCUAGUUGGUGGGGUAAAGGCCUACCAAGGCGACGAUCUGUAGCGGGUCUGAGAGGAUGAUCCGCCAAACUGGGACUGGGAAAAGGCCCAGGCCCCUACGGGAGGGAGCAGUGGGGGAUAUUGGACGAUGGGGGGAACGCUGAUCCAGCCAAGCCGCGUGUGUGAAGGAGGCCUUUUGGUUGUAAAGCACUUUAAGCGAGGAGGAGGCUACAGAGAUUAAUACUCUUGGAUAGUGGACGUUACUCGCAGAAUAAGCACCGGCUAACUCUGUG
rnacentral:rRNA from 1 species